UACGGAGGGUGCAAGCGUUAUCCGGAUUCACUGGGUUUAAAGGGUGCGUAGGAGGGCAGGUAAGUCCGUGGUGAAAUCUCUGAGCUUAACUCGGAAACUGCCAUGGAUACUAUCCGUCUUGAAUGCGGUGGAGGUGAGCGGAAUAUGUCAUGUAGCGGUGAAAUGCUUAGAUAUGACAUAGAACACCGAUUGCGAAGGCAGCUCGCUACACCUGCAUUGACUCUGAGGCACGAAAGCGUGGGGAUCAAACAGG
rnacentral:rRNA from 2 species